UACGUAGGGGGCGAGCGUUGUCCGGAGUUACUGGGCGUAAAGGGCAUGCAGGCGGUCGGACGCGUUUUGUGUGACAGCGGAUGGCUUACCUAUCCGAGCAUACGAAAGACGGUUGGACUUGAGGACUCGAGAGGGACACGGAAUUCCGGGUGGAGUGGUGAAAUGCGUAGAGAUCCGGAGGAACACCGAAGGCGAAGGCAGUGUCCUGGCGAGUGACUGACGCUGAGGUGCGAAAGCCAGGGGAGCGAACGGG
rnacentral:rRNA from 1 species